rnacentral:rRNA from 1 species
AACGCGAAGAACCUUACCUGGGCUCGAACGGCUGGUUAACGCCGGUGGAAACAUCGGUACUCCGCAAGGAGGUCCAGUCGAGGUGCUGCAUGGCUGUCGUCAGCUCGUGUCGUGAGAUGUUGGGUUAAGUCCCGCAACGAGCGCAACCCUUGUCCUGUGUUGCCAUCAUUCAGUUGGGAACUCGCAGGAGACCGCCAGCGAUAAGCUGGAGGAAGGUGGGGAUGACGUCAAGUCCUCAUGGCCUUUAUGUCCAGGGCUACACACGUGUUACAAUGCGCGCUACAAAGCGUUGCAAACCCGCGAGGGGGAGCUAAUCGCAAAAAAGCGCGCUCAGUUCGGAUUGCAGUCUGCAACUCGACUGCAUGAAGCUGGAAUCGCUAGUAAUGGCGCAUCAGAACGGCGCCGUGAAUACGUUCCCGGGCCUUGUACACACCGAGACGAC